rnacentral:rRNA from 1 species
CCUACGGGAGGCAGCAGUAGGGAAUCUUUCACAAUGGGCGAAAGCCUGAUGGAGCAACGCCGCGUGCAGGAUGAAGGCCUUCGGGUUGUAAACUGCUUUUAUAAGCGAGAAAUAUGAUGGUAACUUAUGAAUAAGGAUCGGCUAACUACGUGCCAGCAGCCGCGGUCAAACGUAGGAUCCGAGCAUUAUCCGGAGUGACUGGGUGUAAAGAGUUGCGUAGGUGGCAUAAUAAGUAGCUAGUGAAAUCUGGUGGCUCAACCAUUCAGACUAUUAGCUAAACUGUUAAGCUUGAGAACGUUAGGGGUAACUGGAAUUUCUAGUGUAGGAGUGAAAUCCGUAGAUAUUAGAAGGAACACCAAUAGCGUAGGCAGGUUACUGGGACGGUUCUGACACUAAGGCACGAAAGCGUAGGGAGCAAACGGGAUUAGAUACCCCUGUAGUC